rnacentral:rRNA from 1 species
GACAGAGGUUGCAAGCGUUGUUCGGAAUCACUGGGCGUAAAGGGCGUGUAGGCGGCAAAGUAUGUCUGACGUGAAAUCCCUCGGCUUAACUGGGGAAGUGCAUCGGAAACUGCUUUGCUGGAGUGCGAGAGAGGAUGGCGGAAUUCCCAGAGUAGAGGUGAAAUUCGUAGAUACUGGGAGGAACACCUGAGGCGAAGGCGGCCAUCUGGCUCGCAACUGACGCUGAGACGCGAAAGCGUGGGGAGCAAACAGG